UGCCAUACCCAUUUCACCCUGCAGCCCAACUCACUGAAGCUAAGCAGGGCUGAGCCUGGUUAGUACCUGGAUUGGAGACCAUAUGGGAAAACUAGGUUGCUUUUGUAA
rnacentral:rRNA from 1 species